rnacentral:sRNA from 1 species
GAUACCAGGGUCAAAAGGUAUAAACCCACAUGAGCUUGCUCAUAGGUGGGUGAAAGACCUUGAGACCCGCCCAGAUAUGAGUAUAAAAGUGGAAUGAUAAUCCCACGAUAUGCGAAUGUUGGGUAGGAUUGUGGGAGUACGAAGCACGGAACAAUCCACAGGUA